rnacentral:rRNA from 1 species
UACGUAGGGUGCGAGCGUUGUCCGGAAUUAUUGGGCGUAAAGAGCUUGUAGGCGGUUUGUCGCGUCUGCUGUGAAAAUCCGGGACUCAACCCCGGACCUGCAGUGGGUACGGGCAGACUAGAGUGUGGUAGGGGAGACUGGAAUUCCUGGUGUAGCGGUGAAAUGCGCAGAUAUCAGGAGGAACACCGGUGGCGAAGGCGGGUCUCUGGGCCGUAACUGACGCUGAGGAGCGAAAGCGUGGGGAGCGAACAGG